UGUCUAAGUAUAAGCAAUUAUACAGCGAAACUGCGAAUGGCUCAUUAUAUAAGUUAUCGUUUAUUUGAUAGUACCUUACUACUUGGAUAACCGUGGUAAUUCUAGAGCUAAUACAUGCUAAAAAUCCCGACUCCGGAAGGGAUGUAUUUAUUAGAUUAAAAACCAAUGCCCUCUGGGCUCCUUGGUGAUUCAUGAUAACUCUUCGAAUCGCACGGCCUUGCGCCGGCGAUGGUUCAUUCAAAUUUCUUCCCUAUCAACUUUCGAUGUUUGGGUAUUGGCCAAACAUGGUAGCAACGGGUAACGGAGGGUUAGGGCUCGACCCCGGAGAAGGAGCCUGAGAAACGGCUACUACAUCCAAGGAAGGCAGCAGGCGCGCAAAUUACCCAAUCCCGAUUCGGGGAGGUAGUGACAAUAAAUACUGAUACAGGGCUCUUUUGGGUCUUGUAAUUGGAAUGAGUACAAUUUAAAUCCCUUAACGAGGAACAAUUGGAGGGCAAGUCUGGUGCCAGCAGCCGCGGUAAUUCCAGCUCCAAUAGCGUAUAUUAAAGUUGUUGUGGUUAAAAAGCUCGUAGUUGAACCUUGGGCCUGGCUGGCCGGUCCGCCUCACCGCGUGCACUGGUCCGGCCGGGCCUUUCCCUCUGUGGAACCCCAUGCCCUUCACUGGGCGUGGCGGGGAAACAGGACGUUUACUUUGAAAAAAUUAGAGUGCUCCAGGCAGGCCUAUGCUCGAAUACAUUAGCAUGGAAUAAUGAAAUAGGACGCGUGGUUCUAUUUUUGUUGGUUUCUAGGACCGCCGUAAUGAUUAAUAGGGACAGUCGGGGGCAUCAGUAUUCAAUUGUCAGAGGUGAAAUUCUUGGAUUUAUUGAAGACUAACUACUGCGAAAGCAUUUGCCAAGGAUGUUUUCAUUAAUCAGGAACGAAAGUUAGGGGAUCGAAGACGAUCAGAUACCGUCGUAGUCUUAACCAUAAACUAUGCCGACUAGGGAUCGGACGAUGUUAUUUUUUGACGCGUUCGGCACCUUACGAGAAAUCAAAGUGCUUGGG
rnacentral:rRNA from 1 species